rnacentral:rRNA from 1 species
AUUGAACGCUGGCGGCAGGCCUAACACAUGCAAGUCGAGCGGAUGAGGAGAGCUUGCUCUCCGAUUCAGCGGCGGACGGGUGAGUAAUGCCUAGGAAUCUGCCUGAUAGUGGGGGACAACGUUUCGAAAGGAACGCUAAUGCCGCAUACGUCCUACGGGAGAAAGUGGGGGAUCUUCGGACCUCACGCUAUCAGAUGAGCCUAGGUCGGAUUAGCUAGUUGGUGGGGUAAUGGCCUACCAAGGCGACGAUCCGUAACUGGUCUGAGAGGAUGAUCAGUCACACUGGAACUGAGACACGGUCCAGACUCCUACGGGAGGCAGCAGUGGGGAAUAUUGGACAAUGGGCGAAAGCCUGAUCCAGCCAUGCCGCGUGUGUGAAGAAGGUCUUCGGAUUGUAAAGCACUUUAAGUUGGGAGGAAGGGCUGCUGGUUAAUACCCUGCAGUUUUGACGUUACCAACAGAAUAAGCACCGGCUAACUUCGUGCCAGCAGCCGCGGUAAUACGAAGGGUGCAAGCGUUAAUCGGAAUUACUGGGCGUAAAGCGCGCGUAGGUGGUUGGGUAAGUUGAAUGUGAAAGCCCCGGGCUCAACCUGGGAACUGCAUCCAAAACUGCCCGACUAGAGUACGGUAGAGGGUGGUGGAAUUUCCUGUGUAGCGGUGAAAUGCGUAGAUAUAGGAAGGAACACCAGUGGCGAAGGCGACCACCUGGACUGAUACUGACACUGAGGUGCGAAAGCGUGGGGAGCAAAUAGG